rnacentral:misc_RNA from 1 species
GAUGAAGAACGUAGCGAAAUGCGAUAAGUAAUGUGAAUUGCAGAAUUCAGUGAAUCAUCGAAUCUUUGAACGCACAUUGCGCCCGCCAGCAUUCUGGCGGGCAUGCCUGUUCGAGCGUCAUUUCAACCCUCGACAUCCCCUUGGGGAAGUCGGCGUUGGGGACCGGCAGCACACCGCCGGCCCCGAAAUUGAGUGGCGGCCCGUCCGCGGCGACCUCUGCGUAGUAAUCCAACCUCGCACCGGAACCCCGACGUGGCCACGCCGUAAAACACCCAACUUUCUGAACGUUGACCUCGGAUCAGGUAGGAAUACCCGCUGAACUUAAGCAUACAAUAAGCGGAGGA